rnacentral:rRNA from 1 species
ACACAUGCAAGUCGAGGGCGGGGAGCAAUCCCCGACCGGCGAACGGGUGCGUAACACGUGAGCGACCUGCCCGCGUGUGGGGGAUAGCCGGCCCAACGGCCGGGUAAUACCGCAUACGCUCUUUGAGGGGCAUCCCUUGGAGAGGAAAGCCUGGGGCAACUCAGGCGCAGGCGGAGGGGCUCGCGGCCUAUCAGCUAGUUGGCGGGGUAAUGGCCCACCAAGGCGACGACGGGUAGCUGGUCUGAGAGGAUGGCCAGCCACAUUGGGACUGAGAGACGGCCCAGACUCCUACGGGAGGCAGCAGUGGGGAAUCUUGCGCAAUGGCCGAAAGGCUGACGCAGCGACGCCGCGUGGGGGAGGAAGGUCUUCGGAUCGUAAACCCCUGUUGCCCGGGACGAAUGCCCCUUUCGAGGGGAGUGACGGUACCGGGUGAGGAAGCACCGGCUAACUCCGUGCCAGCAGCCGCGGUAAUACGGAGGGUGCGAGCGUUGUCCGGAAUCACUGGGCGUAAAGGGCGCGUAGGCGGCGGGAUAAGCGUGCGGUGAAAGCUCGGAGCUCAACUCCGAGUCGGCCGUGCGAACUGUCUCGCUCGAGCACAGUAGAGGCAGGUGGAAUUCCGGGUGUAGCGGUGGAAUGCGUAGAGAUCCGGAAGAACAUCGGUGGCGAAGGCGGCCUGCUGGGCUGUGGCUGACGCUGAUGCGCGACAGCGUGGGGAGCAAACAGGAUUAGAUACCCUGGUAGUCCACGCCGUAAACGAUGGGCACUAGGUGCUUGGGGGAGCGACCCCCUGAGUGCCGGCGCUAACGCAUUAAGUGCCCCGCCUGGGGAGUACGGCCGCAAGGCUGAAACUCAAAGGAAUUGACGGGGGCCCGCACAAGCG